GAUGAACGCUAGCUACAGGCUUAACACAUGCAAGUCGAGGGGAAACGAUAUUGGAAGCUUGCUUCCGAUAGGCGUCGACCGGCGCACGGGUGAGUAACGCGUAUCCAACCUGCCCAUCACUUGGGGAUAACCUUGCGAAAGUAAGACUAAUACCCAAUGACGUCUCUAGAAGACAUCUGAAGGAGAUUAAAGAUUUAUCGGUGAUGGAUGGGGAUGCGUCUGAUUAGCUUGUUGGCGGGGUAACGGCCCACCAAGGCGACGAUCAGUAGGGGUUCUGAGAGAAAGGUCCCCCACAUUGGAACUGAGACACGGUCCAAACUACUACGGGAGGCAGCAGUGAGGAAUAUUGGUCAAUGGGCGAGAGCCUGAACCAGCCAAGUAGCGUGCAGGAUGACGGCCCUAUGGGUUGUAAACUGCUUUUAUAAGGGAAUAAAGUGAGCCUCGUGAGGCUUUUUGCAUGUACCUUAUGAAUAAGGACCGGCUAAUUCCGUGCCAGCAGCCGCAGUAA
rnacentral:rRNA from 1 species